CCUACGGGUGGCAGCAGUGAGGAAUAUUGGUCAAUGGACGAGAGUCUGAACCAGCCAAGCAGCGUGAAGGAUGACUGCCCUAUGGGUUGUAAACUUCUUUUAUAUGGGACUAAAAUGUUCCACGUGUGGGAUUUUGUAUGUACCAUAUGAAUAAGGAUCGGCUAACUCCGUGCCAGCAGCCGCGGUAAUACGGAGGAUCCGAGCGUUAUCCGGAUUUAUUGGGUUUAAAGGGAGCGUAGGUGGAUUGUUAAGUCAGUUGUGAAAGUUUGGGGCUCAACCGUAAAAUUGCAGUUGAAACUGGCAGUCUUGAGUACAGGAGAGGUAGGCGGAAUUCGUGGUGUAGCGGUGAAAUGCUUAGAUAUCACGAAGAACUCCGAUUGCGAAGGCAGUUCACUGGACUGCAACUGACACUGAGGCUCGAAAGUGUGGGUAUCAAACAGGAUUAGAUACCCUUGUAGUC
rnacentral:rRNA from 1 species